rnacentral:rRNA from 1 species
CCUUAGAGUUUGAUCCUGGCUCAGGAUGAAUGCUGGCGGCGUGCUUAACACAUGCAAGUCGAACGGAGGACCCUUGACGGAGUUUUCGGACAACGGAUAGGAAUCCUUAGUGGCGGACGGGUGAGUAACGCGUGAGGAACCUGCCUUGGAGAGGGGAAUAACACAGAGAAAUUUGUGCUAAUACCGCAUGAUGCAGUUGGGUCGCAUGGCUCUGACUGCCAAAGAUUUAUCGCUCUGAGAUGGCCUCGCGUCUGAUUAGCUAGUUGGCAGGGUAACGGCCUACCAAGGCGAUGAUCAGUAGCCGGACUGAGAGGUUGACCGGCCACAUUGGGACUGAGACACGGCCCAGACUCCUACGGGAGGCAGCAGUGGGGAAUAUUGGGCAAUGGGCGCAAGCCUGACCCAGCAACGCCGCGUGAAAGAAGAAGGCUUUCGGGUUGUAAACUUCUUUUAUGAGGGACGAAGGAAGUGACGGUACCUCAUGAAUAAGCUCCGGCUAACUACGCGCCAGCAGCCGCGGUAAAACGUAGGUCACAAGCGUUGUCCGGAAUUACUGGGUGUAAAGGGAGCGCAGGCGGGAAGACAAGUUGGAAGUGAAAUCUAUGGGCUCAACCCAUAAACUGCUUUCAAAACUGUUUUUCUUGAGUAGUGCAGAGGUAGGCGGAAUUCCCGGUGUAGCGGUGGAAUGCGUAGAUAUCGGGAGGAACACCAGUGGCGAAGGCGGCCUACUGGGCACCAACUGACGCUGAGGCUCGAAAGUGUGGGUAGCAAACAAGAUUAGAUACCCUGGUAGUCCACACCGUAAA